rnacentral:rRNA from 1 species
GACGACCGCUGGCGUCGGGCCUAUCACAUGCAAGUCCAACGGAAAGGCCCUGCUUGCCUGGGGUGUGCGAAUGGCGAACGGGUGGGUGACACGUGAGGAACCUGCUCUUGACUGUGGGAUAACUUCACGAAACUGGGGCUAAUACCGGAUAUGAGCUCCUGCUGCAUGGGGAGGGGGUGAAUGUGUCGGCGGUUGGUGAUGGACUCGCGGCUUAUCAGCUUGUUGGUGGGGUAGUGGCUUACCGAGGCUUUGACGGGUAGCCUGCCUGAGAGGGUGACCGGCCAGAUUGGGACUGAGAUAAGGCCCAGACUGCUACGGGAGGCAGCAGUGGGGAAUAUUGCACAAUGGGCGGAAGCCUGAUGCAGCACCGCCGCGCGCGGGAUGACGGCCUUCGGGUUGUAAACCGCUUUCGCCUGUGACGAAGCGUGCGUGACGGUAAUGGGUAAAGAAGCACCGGCUAACUACGUG